GUUCAUCCUGAAGCCCUGGGAAUUGAUUUGUCUGCAUUUUGUGAACCUGAGAUACAGAAGACCUCAUCAAUGCCUGGCAGUAUCAGCAGAUACUGGAUUUCUUGCUGGAGAAGGAAAGAAGUUGCCAUGACUACUCACCAAGUAAUACUCUAUUAUGUGCACUGGAGACACUAACUGCCCCCAUGUCAGAGAAUUGCUGAGAACCAGACCCAGAGAGGAUUGCCAAAUUUUCCACUGAAUGCCAGAGGAAGAAGCACUGUGCUGAGGAGGGACACGUGUUGGUGUUGCAAAGGUUUGUCUUUGCAAAGGAAAACAUCUUCAUUGCACAGAUGAAUUGGAUCAAACAUCUUUUUCCAUAUAGCUCAAUUUUCCACAAUGGAGUUACUCCUAGUUGACUACUCUGAGGAGAAAAUUGUAGUCAUUUUUGUGACUAGCAGCAGUUGAAAUGUUUUUUGGCAUGUAUGCAUAUAAUCUAUUAAUUUGCACUUCCUGUCAAUUGCAGGGAUUCAUGAUUAUAAAUAGUAUAAAAAUUUUUAAUGCAAAUAAAGAGAGAGAAAAUCCA